rnacentral:rRNA from 1 species
AUUGAACGCUGGCGGCAGGCCUAACACAUGCAAGUCGAGCGAGCGGCGGACGGGUGAGUAAUGUCUGGGAAACUGCCUGUUGGAGGGGGAUAACUACUGGAAACGGUAGCUAUUACCGCAUAUCAUCACAUGUGCCCAGAUGGGAUUAGCUAGUAGGUGGGGUAAAGGCUCACCUCGGCGACGAUCCCUAGCUGGUCUGAGAGGAUGACCAGCCACACGGGAACUGAGACACGGUCCAGACUCCUACGGGAGGCAGCAGUGGGGAAUAUUGCACAAUGGGCGCAAGCCUGAUGCAGCCAUGCCGCGUGUGUGAAGAAGGCCUUCGGGUUGUAAAGCACUUUCAGCGGGGAGGCGUUACCCGCAGAAGAAGCACCGGCUAACUCCGUGCCAGCCGCCGCGGUAAUAC